GCUAGGAAUGGUGGUGCAUGCCUGUUAUCCCAACUACCAGGGAGGCUGACUCUGAUCUCUUGAGCUUGGGAAUUGUGGGCUUCCGGGGGCUAUGCUGAUCAGGUAUACACUCUAAGUUUGGUAUUAAUGUGGUGAACCGUCGCCAACUUGCCUAAGGAGAAGCAGACUAGACCAGGUCAGAAAUAGAGCAGAUUAAAGGUCUUGUGAUUAUCAGCAGUUUUAUUGAGUCAUAUGUAGCCCCUGUGCUUCCAGGCUGGGCAAGAUAGGGAGACCCCAAUUUUU
rnacentral:SRP_RNA from 1 species